UUAAUCGAAUCAUUGGAAAUUAUUCAAGCACGAACGCAACCUCUCGGGGUUAUGACGUAUGUAUAUGUAUGUGUAUAUGUACACGUACUAUAUCUAGCCAUGCGCAUUUACAAAUAGAUCCAAUAGAAGCACGAGCGAAAGAAAUAGCUAUAACUUCGAUCCAUUUUCUCCAACGAGAGAAAUCGUAUUCGUAUUGAAUUUCAAGUUUCGAUUAAUUAAUAUAGUUGAAAUUUAGUUGAAAAAAAAAUCCGCGUAUAUUCUUACCUCGUGCGAUUUAUUCGCGCUCUUCCGUAGAACUUGGUCGGGCGAACCUCGAAACAAAAGGGAUCAAUCAUUUGGCUUGUUCGAUUUCGAGGAGAGAAUUUUCUUGUUUGGCAGUGGCAUAAAGUGUCUCGUACGUUUGCGUUGAUGCUUUGGAAAUAAUACAACGAAAAGGUAAUCGUGAUCGUUGAUCGAUUAUUAAAAUCAAAAAAAUUAGGUUAUGUACGCGUGUCACGAAUUAGUGUGUAUUAUAUAUCUAACAGAUUUAGUAUCAAGCCGUAGGCAUCGGUCAAAUACAGGCGAUAUUAAUCGAAAUCUUGGACAAUAUUUGUCGUAUCGAUGUAAUUAAAUCAAGUGAAUAAUUACUCGUGCAGCUUGGUUUCUUAAAUUAGAUUUUCUUUAACGAUCGAAUAAGAUCUAU